GACGAACGCUGGCGGCGUGCUUAACACAUGCAAGUCGAACGAUGAACCCGGAGCUUGCUCCGGUGGAUUAGUGGCGAACGGGUGAGUAACACGUGGGCAACCUGCCCCUGACUUCGGGAUAACUCCUCGAAAGAGGUGCUAAUACCGGAUACGAAUCCUGCAGGCAUCUGCGGGAUUGGAAAGUUUUUCGGUCAGGGAUGGGCCCGCGGCCUAUCAGCUUGUUGGUGAGGUAGUGGCUCACCAAGGCGACGACGGGUAGCCGGACUGAGAGGGCGACCGGCCACACUGGGACUGAGACACGGCCCAGACUCCUACGGGAGGCAGCAGUGGGGAAUAUUGCGCAAUGGGCGAAAGCCUGACGCAGCAACGCCGCGUGAGGGAUGACGGCCUUCGGGUUGUAAACCUCUUUCAGCAGGGAAGAAGCGAAAGUGACGGUACCUGCAGAAGAAGCACCGGCUAACUACGUGCCAGCCGCCGCAGUAA
rnacentral:rRNA from 1 species